GGGCACAGGAGGAUGGAGGGUAAACACUGAAGAGGAAGAGCAGGAAGUGAGACUCCUCAUUUUCAGGAGGUAAGCCCAUCUCAAGUUUCUUCGUGGGCCCUCCAUCUAACCUCCUCUGGGAUUUGAAACAAGUCAACUCCCUGAUAAGGUCGGCACCAGGACUGGGUUACCUUGGACGCAGAGUCGGCAGACACCCCCACGGUCCCUAGAGGACUCUCCACACGAUCUUUAAACCAAUGGAAGCUCUGUGCCAACCCUAAGAUCCAGCCAGAAACAAAGCAGAGAAACAAUCCAGACAUCGGCAUAGAUUUGAAGAGCAGAGUGUCUGGGCUUCCUCGAGCCGUGCUUCUACCUCUCUGCCCAUGUAAUACAUGAAGUCAUCUAACUGCAAAGACAAGACCUCAAACAACUUUGUGGAACUUUGGUAAACUGUAGAAGGAACUUCAAGCAGAAUCAGUCUACUGGGCAUAGGGAAAGACUCCCCUGAAAUCUUCUUUAUUGAAACUCUCCCUCUCUUUCCCCACAUUUAGAAGCAAAGGCUUCCAUCCACACUCAUUGUCCUCUCAAAUGAGCUCCUAAUUGCAUCCCUUCUCCGUGUGCCACACCUAAGCAGUGCCCACCAAAGCCCUUCCUUAGACAUAGGAUGUUUCCUGAUGUGCUCUCAAUCCAGUUGCCCUCUCCUGAUUCUGCAUAUUUUUUAAAGGUAUGAUUUCCUGAAAUAAAUUACAUAUUAACU